UAGCAUUCCUUCACGCCGUCCAAGCCCGCACACGGCCUCAGGGGGACCCCAAGGAUAUGAGACGGGAAGGACAGUCGCUUUAUCGAGGGACUACGAGCUCUAUAUAGAAAAUUAAUUCCUAUGCCGCACAGUAUUCCGCAUCCGAGAGCACGAGCCCCAUCCCGUGGGCCAAAGCAGCCAGUUAAGCAUGCAAGGGACACGGGAGAAGCUUUGUGGUUCAUCUUGUGCCUACGAGAGGCACAAUGAAGAACAAAAACUUACCGACAACAGAAUAGAAUUCCACCAUGUGGGUAUGCAACACAAGAACCCAUCUUUGCCCGAUAGCGCAAAAUGCCUACAGGCUGCAACUGAACGACCGCUAGGCAAACAGUUCAAUGCUCACGCAAUAGAGCCUGUCAACCCAAACGACC
rnacentral:misc_RNA from 1 species